rnacentral:tRNA from 1 species
GCCACCGUAGCUCAGUGGUAGAGCGCACCCUUGGUAAGGGUGAGGUCACGGGUUCGAAUCCCGUCGGCGGCU